rnacentral:rRNA from 1 species
AUUGAACGCUGGCGGCAUGCUUUACACAUGCAAGUCGAACGGUAACAGGCCGCAAGGUGCUGACGAGUGGCGAACGGGUGAGUAAUGCAUCGGAACGUGCCCAGUCGUGGGGGAUAACGCAGCGAAAGCUGCGCUAAUACCGCAUACGAUCUAAGGAUGAAAGCGGGGGACCGUAAGGCUCCGCGCGAUUGGAGCGGCCGAUGUCAGAUUAGGUAGUUGGUGGGGUAAAGGCUCACCAAGCCAACGAUCUGUAGCUGGUCUGAGAGGACGACCAGCCACACUGGGACUGAGACACGGCCCAGACUCCUACGGGAGGCAGUAGUGGGGAAUUUUGGACAAUGGGCGCAAGCCUGAUCCAGCAAUGCCGCGUGCAGGAAGAAGGCCUUCGGGUUGUAAACUGCUUUUGUACGGAACGAAAAGGCUCUGGUUAAUACCUGGGGCUCAUGACGGUACCGUAAGAAUAAGCACCGGCUAACUACGUGCCAGCCGCCGCCGUAAUAC